rnacentral:lncRNA from 1 species
AUAUUAUAUUUCUAGCGGUAGUACACUGCAUUGCCUCGAGUUAUUAGGCGUCGACAAACAUACACAUUUUGCUUUAAUAAUAUAUUAGAUAACUCCUCAACAAAUCUUUGAUUUUCAUUUUUGUUUUUCAUGAGCACACUCACACGUAGCUACUCCUUCAAUACUUAGACGUUCUGUCCUCAAGAAUAAAUAAAAAUAUCAACUACAACUUGAGAAAAAUAAAGCAUUAAACCAUGUAGCAAAGCGCGACCGUUAGCCUGAGGAGAAAGAAUGGUGCAGCGUUAUAUUUUUUUUGCAAGAUGUCGCUUUUCAUUUUCCUGCUACCGAGCCUCACAUAUAUAAAUUCCCCUUCAGUUAAGUUCUUAAUGCGGUAAAGCUUGAAUUACUUGAAUUUAAAUAUGGAUCAUAAUUAUCCACGAAACCUCUGAAAUUCACCUUUUUCAUUUAGUUACUCAAAGGUUAUUGUUUAUUAUUACUGUUGUAAUGCUUUGGACCUCUGGUAAUGUCAUUAAUUACAUGUUUGAGAAUCGCAAAAAGUAAAUAACUUUAUUCUGAACACCAGCAAGUCGCCAAGAGUCCUUAUUUCUUCACCAAAUCAAGAGACGGAUAAAUAUUUACUAAAUUACUUCAUUGUCGUCAUAUGGGAUUCAAGAUGUCAAAUUUUUCUCCGAGACAGUAAGUGUAUUUCCUUUUAGUGGUGGAGGAUGCAAGAUAUUCCCCUCCUUGACGAAGUACUUUCGUCAGAGGAAGAUAAAAACACCAAAUUGAACCCUCAUCUAUUGGAAUGACCUUUCUGACUCCAAGAUUACUAGGACACUAGUUUUCCUAAUUUCAUAAUACAAGUCUACGCUUAUAUUUGUGUAGUUGUAAUUAGAGUUGUUGGAAUUGUUGAAAAAGAACGAAUUUGAUUGGUUGAAAGAGAUUAUAUAAAAAAAGGAAUAAAAUACGUUGGUACCCUUGCAUCUUCUAAACAAAUUAUCCUCAGUACUGCUCUAAUCAACAGCAAUGCAACUUUCCCUUACUGCUCUCUCACGUUCAUCAUCAUCAUGCUGAAGAAAACGUGUCUUUUUUCAUGGGUUUCUAAUAACGAAGUUUCUCGUGUCCAUCUCGUUAUUUAUUGCAAGUAAUCCGCCACUCCAAAACCUCCCAUCAAAUCAACAACUUAAAAGUCUUCAAGAAACACAAGACUCAAGGAGACGAAGGAGAAUUAAACGGUUCAUCAUUCAAUUUGGACGUGGCAAAGUUAUUUUUGUCGUGUAACAUCCCUUUAAAUGUUCUGAAUCAUCCCAAUUUCUCCAAAUUUAUUCAAAAAUAUACUGGAAAACUUCUCCAGGUCAAUGGGUCGUUAACAACUUGGUUGGGGAAGUAUGUCAAGGAGUUUUGAAUAGAAUAAAAGAAGAAGUGGAAGAAAAGGAUAUUUUUGUUGCACUAAAUGAGACAAGAGAUCAUCGAGGGAGGUCAAUGAUGGCAAUUUUGAUUGGCCCUAUGGACAGAAUUUUCUGUGGGAGACCUUACCUUAUUGAGUUGAUUGAUAUUGAGAUUGCAAACGCAAACAAUGCAAAGAACAUCGUCAUAAGCUCAGUUUAUAAGUUAUUGGGAGAAGAUUUUGUCCCGCGUAAACUGCAAGUUUUCAUCACUCAUUCUGCCUCGUAUUGUCUCAAGGCAGGAGAAGAUUUUCGAGAUAAAAAAAUCUCGGUAUUGAUUCACAUUACAUGUAUUGCUCAUAGAUUACAUGGAGUUACAGAUAUGAUUCAACAAAAGUUUCCUCUAAUGAACGAACUUAUUUUCAAUGAGAAAAAUAUGUUUUUGAAUUUUGGAAGAAGAAAGAGAGUAUUAACUGCUUCGUACGAAAUUUCCCUCCCUCCAUCACCAAUUAUAACAAGAUAGGGAACUUGGUUAAAAGCAGUGGAGUACUACUACCAUCACUUCGACGUCUUCAGAGAAUAUUUAAGCAGCCUUGACGAAGAUUUGGCAGCAACCAGAAGAACACAAGAAGUAAUUAAUAAUGAUUUUUUAAGAGAAGAAGUCGUAUUUAUGCAGGAAAAUUUUCAUCAAAUACCUUUGGCAAUUACUGUGCUUGAGGAAAGAUUGCCUCUUCUUACCAGCAUAACCAUAGUAGAAAAGAUUUGAAGGAAGAGCCAUUCAAGACCAAGUUCAAAGAAGUGCUUCAAAAGAAUCCUGGCUACACAAAACUAAAGGAACUCUGAACAAGUGACAACCUUGUAUACAAAAAUAUUGUCAAUUGUCAUGCUGUGAGAGUCUUUAGUAUGAUGAAUAUCAUCAAUACGAAAAGGAGGUCCCAACUAAGUACUAAGAAAUGGAGGGAAUUGUUGAUCACCAAAUGGAAUGAAUGUUCCGUUAUCAUUUAAUUGUCAACACAUUUCGUGCCAAAGUUAUCUAUUCAUCCUUUAUUGUCAGCGGUCACUAAGAAGUUACGAGUACACUUCCUGUAAUGAUGGGUUUGAUGUUCUCAAACUAACAAUAUAUUUUGUCUUGCAUAAAUUUACAGAAUAUAAUUUACAUUUAUAAAGUUAUUUAUAGGGAAGUUAUAUAUUAAUAAUAUACAACAAUC